rnacentral:rRNA from 1 species
GACGAACGCUGGCGGCGUGCCUAAUACAUGCAAGUAGAACGCUGAAGGAGGAGCUUGCUUCUCCGGAUGAGUUGCGAACGGGUGAGUAACGCGUAGGUAACCUGCCUGGUAGCGGGGGAUAACUAUUGGAAACGAUAGCUAAUACCGCAUAACAGUAGAUAUUGCAUGAUUUCUGCUUGAAAGGUGCAAUUGCAUCACUACCAGAUGGACCUGCGUUGUAUUAGCUAGUUGGUGAGGUAACGGCUCACCAAGGCGACGAUACAUAGCCGACCUGAGAGGGUGAUCGGCCACACUGGGACUGAGACACGGCCCAGACUCCUACGGGAGGCAGCAGUAGGGAAUCUUCGGCAAUGGACGGAAGUCUGACCGAGCAACGCCGCGUGAGUGAAGAAGGGUUUCGGAUCGUAAAGCUCUGUUGUAAGAGAAGAACGAGUGUGAGAGUGGAAAGUUCACACUGUGACGGUAUCUUACCAGAAAGGGACGGCUAACUACGUG